GCUCUCCUGCAAGUGUAACCAAGAGUGGGGUCCAGCAGCUUGCUGCUCAAAAGCCAAUAAAAAGACAACAUUGGUGGAAAAGAAAGUUUGCUUUAUUUUGAAUGCUGGUAACCGGGGCAGGGAGGGGGAGGGUGGACGUCUCUCCAAAGGCCGGCUGUGUCCUGAGCUCAGCAAUCACAUGGGGAGAACUUUUACAGACAGAAGGAGGGGCUACAUACAGACACAGCAUGGUCAGCCCUGGGAGUCACCUUGGUAGUCUGACCAGCAUCAUCUUGAUUGUUUUAAGUACAGUUAGCCUUCACUUCCAGGGCUGAUUUGUUCCCGUCUCCUUGAAGUCAGUUCUCAGAAUGUGGCAGCUUGUAUCAUGGCCACAGUCUGGUCAUCAUGUAAUUUCUUCCACCUGGUGGAGGUUUCAGUCUCUACAAGACAGCUCACAAGAAAUUAAAGAUGAAAGAGUGAGCAAUGAGUUGAGGAUUCUCUGAGAAGUAAAGCUUAAAGUCUUCUUCCCGUCACCCUGCACUUUGCAUACUGCCACAGCCACAGUGAAAUCCGGCUCUGAACCCACCGAGGAGCAUGUAGAUGGCGCUACCACAUUGGAGCGGAUCAGGCCCUGGUGAAUCCAGUACUAAAUGGUCCAGCUCAGGAGGGAGCUGAGAGAGAGAGCUGAAUGAUGAAUAAGUGUGAAGAAAUAUGUUUAUUUCCAGAAUCAAUUUGCUUUGUCUUCAGAGCACCAGCUAAGCAUAAAAUGGAGAAUACUUCUGUCAAAUCUGCAAAGGAGACCACUCUAUCACGUUGGCAACUUUCUUUCUUCCCAUCAAGUUUGUAUCAUAAAAGCCAAGUAAAUUGUGUUGAUGUUCUCUGUUAUGACAUGCACUGACAUGAUGGAUAGGAAGCAACCCUCAUGUUGCAUAAGAGCAAAGAAAAUAAUAGCCCCUCACAGCCAAUGGAGAGUAUCAGGUGAUGGGAUCUCUCUGCAUCUCUGUAGGGGCCCAGAAACAUUUGUGUUCUUGUUUCUUCCCAAGCUAGGAAGAAAAAUGAUGAAGUCACAUUUUUAUAAGAUAGGAUGUAGAGAGGGAGUAGGUUCAUGCUUUUUACUAUAUUGUUGUUAAAGGAUAAUUUUCAUGAAAGGUAAUAUGAAGAUUCUCAAGAUAUAAGUUGAACAUAUGUUUAAGAUUUUAUGUAAUUCAUUAAAGAAAUAAGGGGACUAGCAGAUGUCCAACCUGGUCAAAGAAGAAUCCACAAGGACAGGCACAUGUGUGGAUCGAGUCUGCUGAAAUGAAGGGGCAAGUGAAAGGCCAAGCUGACUCCUUCCGCGGUGGGAGAGGGAAGUCAGCUGAGACCUGGCAGACUGAAUUUACAGUCUACAGACACGAAUACUGUGUAUUUUUCUUGGUGUCUACAACUAACAGGGCUAGUUGGAAGAUAACCCCCAAAGGGUCAGGAUCAGUUAACUCUGAGCUCUUGACUCUGGGUUGGAAAACUAUAGCCACAGCCAAGUCACCUGUGUUUGUAAAUACAAUGUUAUUGGAGCACAACCAUUUGUUAAUAUAUUGCUAAUCAUGCUAAGUGGCAAAGUUCAAUAGAUGGAACCUUAUGAAUGGUAAAUCUAAAUUAUUUACUAUUGGGUCCUUUAAGGAAAUGUUUCCUGGCCUUUGGUAAAGAUAAAAAUGGGCUUCUACUGAAUCACGAAUCUUCUCCUAUAUUCUAUAUCGGUGAAAAGAGAAUUUGGGAACUAGAUAAAUCUGGAUCUGAAUCUUAACUCUGUUACUUAAUAAAUGUAUCAUUAAAGCAAGUUACAUAAACUUCCACAUAUUCAGUUAUUAAACAGUAUAAAAACAUUAUUUCUAAUUAAAUAAGUAUGAUGAGUCUAUUGUAUGA
ensembl:lncRNA